rnacentral:rRNA from 1 species
GAUUAACGCUGGCGGCGUGCAUAACACAUGCAAGUCGAACGAUGAAACUCAUUAGAUUUCUUCGGAAUGAAAAUGAAUGGAUUAGUGGCGAACGGGUGAGUAACGCGUGAGUAACCUGCCUUACACAAGGGGAUAGCCUCUGGAAACGGAGAAUAAUACCCUAUGAAACCAGACAAUCGCAUGAUAAUCUGGUCAAAAUGUUUAGUGGUGUAAGAUGGACUUGCGUCUGAUUAGCUAGUUGGUGAGAUAAAAGCUCACCAAGGCAACGAUCAGUAGCCGGAUUGAGAGAGCGUACGGCCACAUUGGGAGUGAGACACGGCCCAGAUUCCUACGGGAGGCAGCAGUGGGGAAUUUUGCACAAUGGGGGAAACCCUGAUGCAGCGACGCCGCGUGAUUUAGAAGGCCUUCGGGUUGUAAAAAUCUUUUGUAUAGGAAGAAAAUGACAGUACUAUACGAAUAAGGUCCGGCUAAUUACGUG